rnacentral:rRNA from 1 species
GUUGAACGCUGGCGGCGUGCUUAACACAUGCAAGUCGAACGGAAAGGGCCAAGAUUGCUUGGGUACUCUAGUGGCGAACGGGUGAGUAACACGUGGGUGAUCUGCCCUGCACUUCGGGAUAAGCCUGGGAAACUGGGUCUAAUACCGGCUAGGACGAUGGCUUGAAUGCCAUGGUGGAAAGUUUUUUCGGUGUGGGAUGAGGUCGCGGCCUAUAAGCUUGUUGGUGGGGUCAUGGCCUACCAAGGCGUCGACGGGUAGCCGGCCGGAGAGGGUGUACGGCCACAUUGGGAUUGAGAUACAGGCCAGACUCCUACGUGUGGCAGCAGUGGCGAAUAUCGCAUGAUGGGAGGAAGCGUGUAGCAGCGACGCCGCGUGGGGGAUGAGGGCCUUCGGGGUGGAGACUCCUUGUGCUAGGGACGAAGCGGUUCUGUGACGGUACCUGGAGAAGAAGCACCGGCUAACUACGUG